CAGUAGCCGCGGUAAUACGUAGGGUGCGAGCGUUAAUCGGAAUUACUGGGCGUAAAGCGUGCGCAGGCGGUUGUGUAAGACAGGUGUGAAAUCCCCGGGCUUAACCUGGGAACUGCGCUUGUGACUGCACAGCUAGAGUAUGGCAGAGGGGGGUGGAAUUCCACGUGUAGCAGUGAAAUGCGUAGUGAUGUGGAGGAACACCGAUGGCGAAGGCAGCCCCCUGGGCCAAUACUGACGCUCAUGCACGAAAGCGUGGGGAGCAAACAGGAUUAGAGACCCCAGUAGUCCCUGUCUCUUAUAC
rnacentral:rRNA from 1 species